GUAAUACUGGUACAUUAUAAAAGCCUAGUGUGGUCCCCGCCCAUUUUUAAUACUGACAUGUAAAAUUAUAACUUGGCGGGGCUGGAGACCAGAUGAAUGAAAGUCGUAAAUUUAAUUCAAAAUCCACACCUAUUUAAACAAUUCUUUUUAUGAGAGGUGAAGAUAACGAACAGUGAUCAACCUCAUCUUCCAACAAGCAACACAAAAAUAGAGGACUGAGUAAACACGGACCCCAGAGGUGGGAUUAGGUGCCUAAGAGGGUGAAUGAUCAUGGAGAUGCUAGGGCAACAUAUGAAAGUUUACAUAUUCAGAGCGAUGAGAACAAAUAUGAAGCUUUACAAGAUCAA